rnacentral:sRNA from 1 species
UUUGAUGGGUGUUCUGUUAAACCCGUCCCAUCCUGGGACAACACCGAACUGCCCCACAUCGUGUGGG